AAACAAGCAAACAAACAACAGAUACACAUACAAAAUGACAGUAUUCUCAAUCACAUUUUAAAAAAAGAUUUAUCUAUCUAUCUAUCUAUCUAUCUAUCUAUUUAUUUAUUUAUUUAUUAUAUGUAAGUACACUGUAGCUAUUUUCAGACACUCCAGAAGAGGGCAUCAGAUCUAAUUACAGAUGGUUGUGAGCCACCAUGUGGUUGCUGGGAUUUGAACUCAGGACCUUUGGAAGAACAGUCAGUGCUCUUAAACGCUGAGCCAUCUCUCCAGCCUUCUCAAUCACAUUUUAAAAUAAUCUUCUUUUUUUAGGUUUUUUUUUUUAAUAAAUGCAUGCUUGUAAUCAAGUAAUUAUCAUGCCAUCACUAACAAGCACAGUGAUAUAUGGAGUAACAAGCACUGUCAUAUAUGGAGCGAGGUUCUCUCUUCAGUUUCUUUUUGGAGGCAUUUAGAGCUAUGAGUUUUCAUCUUACCACUGCUUUCAUUGUGUCCCAUAAGUUUUGGUUAUGAUAUGUCUUCAUUUUUAUUAAAUUCUAAAAAGCCUUUAAUUUCUUUAUUUCUUCCUUGACCAAGUUAUCAUUGAGUAGAGCGUUGUUCAGCUUCCAUGUAUAUGUGUGUUUUCUGAUGUUUUUGUUGAUAUUUAAGACCAACCUUAGUCUGUGGUGAUCUGAUAGGGUGCAUGGAAUUAUUUCAAUCUUCUUGUAUCUAUUGAGGCCUAUUUUGUGACCAUUUAUAUGGUCGGUUUUAGAGAAGGUACUGUGAAGUGCUGAGAAGAAGGUAUAUUUUUUUGCUUUAGGAUGAAAUAUUCUAUAAAUGUCUGUUAGUUCCAUUUGGUUCAUAACUUCUGUUAGUUUCACUGUGUCUCUGUUUAGUUUUUGUUUCCAUGAUCUGUCUGUUUAUUGAUGAGAGUGGGGUGUUGAAGUCUCCCACUAUUAUUGUGUGGGGUGCGAUAUGUGCUUUGAGCUUUAGUAAAGUCUUUUUUUUUUUCUUUUCUUUUUUCUUUUUUUCUUUUUUUAAAUGAAUGUGGCUGCCCUUGCAUUUGGAGCAUAGAUGUUCAGAAUUGAGAGUUCAUCUCAGUAGAUUUUUCCUUUGCCCAGUGUGAAGUGUCCUUCUUUAUCUCUCUUGAUGACUUUGCAUUGAAAGUUGAUUUUAUUUGAUAUUAGAAUGGCUACUCCAGCUUGUUUCUUGGGACCAUUUGCUUGGAAAAUUGUUUUCAAACCUUUUACUCUGAGGUAGUGUCUGUCUUUUUCACUGAGGUGCAUUUCCUGUAUGCAGCAAAAUGCUGGGUCAUGUUUAUGUAUCCAGUCUGUUAGUCUAUGUCUUUUGGGGAGAAUUCAGUCCAUUGAUGUUAAGGAAAAGUGAUCGUAACUUCCUAUUAAUUUUUGUUGUUAGAGGUGGAAUUAUGUUUGUGUGGCUGUCUUCUUUUGGGUUUGAUGAAAGAUGACUUUCUUGCUUUUUCUAGGGUGUAGUUUCCCUCCUCAUGCUGCUGUUUUCCAUCUAUUAUCCUUUGUAGGGCUGGAUUUAUGGAAAGAUACUGUGUAAAGUUGAUUUUGUCAUGAAAUAUUUUGGUUUCUCUGUCUAUGAUAAUUGAGAGUUUUGCUGGGUAUAGUAACUUGGGCUGGCAUUUGUGUUCUCUUAGUGUCUGUAUGACAUCUGCCCAGGGUCUUCUGGCUUUCAUAGUCUCUGGUGAGAAGUCUGGCGUAGUUCUGAUAGGUCUGCCUUUAUAUGUUACUUGACCUUUUCCCCUUACUGCUCAUAAUAUUCUUUCUUUGUUUAGUGCAUUUGAUGUUUUGAUUAUUAUGUGACAGAAGGAAUUUCUUUUCUGGUCCAGUCUAUUUGGAGUUCUGUAGGCUUCUUGUAUGUACAUGGGCAUCUCUUUCUUUAGGUUAGGGAAGUUUUCUUCUAUAAUUUUGUUGAAGAUAUUUACUGGCCCUUUAAGUUGGGAAUCUUCAUUCUCUUCUAAACCCAUUAUCCUUAGGUUUCAUCUUCUCAUUGUGUCCUGGAUAUCCUGGAUGUUUUGGGUUAAGAGCUUUUUGUUUUUGCAUUUUCUUUGACUGUUGUGUCAAUGUUUUCUGUGGUAUCUUCUGCACCUGAGAUUCUCUCUUCUAUCUCUUGUAUUCUGUUGGUGAUGCUUGCAUCUAUGACUCCUGAUCUCUUUACUAGGUUUUCUUACUCCAGGGUUGUCUCCCUUUGUGGUUUCUUUAUUGUUUCUAUUUCUACUUUUAGAUCCUGGAUGGUUUUGUUCAAUUCCUUCACUUGUUUGGUUGUGUUUUUCUGUAAUUCUUUAAAGGAUUUUUGUGUUUCCUCUUUAAGGGCUUCUAGCUGAUUACCUGUGUUCUCCUGUAUUUCUUUAAGGGAGUUAUUUAUGUCCUUCUUAAAGUCCUCUUUCAUCAUGAAAUGUGAUUUUAGAUCUGAAUCUUGCUUUUCCUGUGUGAUGGUGUAUCCAGGACUUGCUAUGGAGAAUCGGGUUCUUAUGAUGCCAAGUAACCUUGGUUUCUGUUGCUUAUGUUUUUAUGCUUGCCUCCCACCAUCUGAUUAUCUCUAGUGCUACCUGCCCUCACUAUCUCUGAUUGGAGCUGUCCUUCCUGUGAUUCUGGUUGUAUCAGAACUCCUCAAAGUUCAGCUGUCUCUGUGAUUCUGGGAUCCUGGGUAUGUCAGAGCUCCUGGGAGUCAAGCUGCCUCUGGGACCCUGAGAUCUUGGUGUGACCAAACUCCUGGGAUCCUGUGGUCCUGGACGUGUUAGAGUGCUUGGGAGUGGAGCUUCCUUUGGGUGUUGUGGUUCCUGCCCAAGGUCUGCUUAGGGCACCAGCCCAUACCAGAAGGCUUUUCAGAUUUUGUGUGUGUGUGUGUGUGUGUGUGUGUGUGUGUGUGUGUGUGUGUGCUUUAUUAUACAUGUAUUCUAUUUCGUUUACUCAUUUGGAUUGUUCCAAAGUUUUGCUAUUAAAGUUGGUGAUGCAGGGCUCAGCUGGUGAAGGCACUUUUGGUGCUAAGCAUGUAAACCUGAGUUCAAACAUUAGAGACCAUGUAGUGAAAGGAGAGAGCCAGUUUCUUCAAGUUGUCCUUCCACAGACAUACACAGUAAAUAAAUAAUAAAGUAAAAACAGCCCACAUUCGUGUCAUUAGUCAGAAGUAAGAUAAAGUAUAUUAAUUUACUAUGUCAAAAAUCAUGAAAAUGUAUCUAAAAUAAGUAUGUAGGUUUAUAUGAUUGACAAUCAACAAAGAAAAUAUCUUAGCCAGAAGUCUUGAUAAAUAAAUGGCGAUAAUUCCAUAGGAGACUGAAAGAGGCAGAACACUGAGGAUUUGAGGCCAGCAUGACUAUAGAGUUAAGGCCUUUCUC
rnacentral:lncRNA from 1 species